UACGUAGGGUGCAAGCGUUAAUCGGAAUCACUGGGCGUAAAGGGUGCGUAGGCGGGUCUUUAAGUCAGGGGUGAAAUCCUGGAGCUCAACUCCAGAACUGCCUUUAAUACUGAGGAUCUUGAGUUCGGGAGGGUAGUGAGUGGAACUGCGAGUGUAGAGGUGAAAUUCGUAGAUAUUCGCAAGAACACCAGUGGCGAAGGCGACACACUGGCCCGAUACUGACGCUGAGGCGCGAAAGCGUGGGGAGCAAACAGG
rnacentral:rRNA from 1 species